rnacentral:rRNA from 1 species
UGGCAAUCACGGGUAACGGAGAAUCAGGGUUCGAUUCCGGAGAGUGAGCCUGAGAGACGGCUAACACAACUAAGGUUGGCAGCAGGCGCGCAAAUUACCCAAUGCCAACACUGGCGAGGUAGCGACGAAAAAUAGGAUUUCCGCUGGCCUUCGGCCAGUGGAGAUUCCAAUGAAUGGUACACAAACUCACCACUGAGUAACUAUUGGAGGGCAAGUCUGGUGCCAGCAGCCGCGGUAAUUCCAGCUCCAAGAGCGUAUGCUAAUGCUGUUGCUGUUAAAAAGCUCGUAGUUGGAUUCUGAGUUGAAGGUUGCACACGGCCUCUCCCCGAGGCCCUUCCCUCACGUCCUUCGGGGUGUGGGAGGAGGACUCUUGUGCGGAUUGGAUACAACCGUGUGCUUUCGACCUUCACUCUACAUACGCGGAAUCGACAACUCCUGCGGAAGCCUCCUUCACUGGUGGUGGAAGCACCAACACGGGACCACAAGUUCCCUUAAAGGAGCGUCCGUGCAUGUUACUGUGAACAAAACAGCGUGUUCAAAGCAUCCGUUUGGCUGAAUGAUCUAGCAUGGAAUAACAAGGGAUCGACCUUUUGGGUCUUCUUUUUGUCAGUCUUGAUUACCCUCAAGGGCAAUCUAGGGCGGAGAAACCACCUGGUGCUGGCGCUGGCGGGUUCCUUGCUGCUUCGGCAGUCAGGGCGCCCCCAUGCACUGGCGCCCAGUGGUCUCCGUUCCGUCGGUAUUAAUAGAGGCAGGCGGGGUGGUACGUAUUGCUGCGUUAGUGGUGAAAUACUUAGACCGCAGCAGGACGAACAACAGCGAAGGCAUUCUGCAAGUUUGCUUUCAUUAAUCAAGAACGAGAGUGUGGGGUUCGAAGAUGAUCAGAUACCGUCGUAGUCCAUUACCGUAAACGAUGCCGAUUUGAAAUCAGCGGAGGCUCUAUUUUAAGACUCCGUUGGCAUCACCCCCUUUUAACGAGAAAUCCCAAAUGUGUGGGUUCAGGGGGGAGUACAUUCGCAAGGCUGAAACUUAAAGGAAUUGACGGAAUGACACCACAAGGCGUGGAGUAUGCGGCUUAAUUUGACCCAACACGGGGAAACUCACCAGGUCAGGACGAAAUUGGGAUUGACAGAUUGAAGUUCUUUCUUGAUCUUUCGGAUGGUGGUGCAUGGCCGUUCUUGGUUGGUGAAGUGAUUUGUCUGCUUAAUUGCGUUAACGAACGAGAUCUCUGCCUCUUAAUAGGUGGCGGCGACGACUUCAAGCAGCUGG